UGGGGAAUAUUGGACAAUGGGCACAAGCCUGAUCCAGCCAUACCGCGUGGGUGAAGAAGGCCUUCGGGUUGUAAAGCCCUUUUGUUGGGAAAGAAAUCCAGCUGGCUAAUACCCGGUUGGGAUGACGGUACCCAAAGAAUAAGCACCGGCUAACUUCGUGCCAGCAGCCGCGGUAAUACGAAGGGUGCAAGCGUUACUCGGAAUUACUGGGCGUAAAGCGUGCGUAGGUGGUCGUUUAAGUCCGUUGUGAAAGCCCUGGGCUCAACCUGGGAACUGCAGUGGAUACUGGGCGACUAGAAUGUGGUAGAGGGUAGCGGAAUUCCUGGUGUAGCAGUGAAAUGCGUAGAGAUCAGGAGGAACAUCCAUGGCGAAGGCAGCUACCUGGACCAACAUUGACACUGAGGCACGAAAGCGUGGGGAGCAAACAGGAUUAGAUACCCUGGUAGUCCACGCCCUAAACGAUGCGAACUGGAUGUUGGGUGCAAUUUGGCACGCAGUAUCGAAGCUAACGCGUUAAGUUCGCCGCCUGGGGAGUACGGUCGCAAGACUG
rnacentral:rRNA from 1 species